UGUUUUACAGUUGCCAGGGAAAUGUUACGACUGACUGGACACUCUUUUUGGCUGUGGUUAAAAGAAGACCGAAGCUUGUAAUGCAAAAAUACAUAUCUCGUGGGACACUUUGCCCUCGGGCCGCUGAGAUUAUCUCCCGCAUCACGGCGUUCUGUGAUGUGCGCGAUAACACCCUCCAGCUAUCAAGGAUCCUCAGACAAAAGCUUGGGCCUUCUUGGCACAUCCAGUCAUAAAAGUCCUGGAAAAAAGAUCACGGCUUCGGUUAAAUGUAAAUGUCAGUGGAUACGUAAGAACAAGCCAGUUCCAGCUCAUCUUCACAACUAGCAACGAAUCAACUGGGAUUUGAGAGAGCUUUAAAAUCAUGGUGCUGUAAACG